rnacentral:rRNA from 1 species
GCUUACGGCCGUACCACCCUGAGAACGCCCGAUCUUGUCUGAUCUCGGAAGUUAAGUAGGGUCGGGCCUGGUUAGUACUUGGAUGGGAGACCGCCUGGGAAUACCAGGUGCUGUAAGCU